GAGUCGAGUUAUUUGGGACUAUAGCUCUAAUAGUUUGGUUGGUGGUAAUGACACAUCAAAGGCUAAAUAUUGGUUAGUACGAUGCUUAUAUACGGAGACCGAUAGCAUACAAGUACCGUAAGGGAACGAUGAAAAGCACCCUAUUAAGUUCACGGCUGCCUGACCGCGUACAACUCGUGUGUACAACGUCGGCGCCCAACAACUACAGUGGGAGUGAAAGAGAGAGUGAAAUCGCCUAUACAUAAUAUACGUACACACACAGUACUUUUAUAAAGUCUGCGUUAGUACAAUCGGACAGAGUGUCGUACACAUAUACAAGCCGCCUGAUAUAUACACGUAUAUAUCACGGCUCGGCUCAUAGCGUGCCUCUGGCCGCUAUACGCGACACAACUGUACGACCCGUUUUGAAACACGGACCAAGGAGUUCAACUGGAUUACAAGUCGUAGAGUGUAUAUAUACGUAUACUCACACGGCGUAGCGAAAGCAAUAUGUAAUUCUAUAUGUGCGAGGUCGGGUGACACCGUCCGCAGCACGCGCUGAGUGUGUAUAUACGUGGAGGCCUUAGAGCCGACGCGUAUACCUUGUAAUUUAUUACGAGGAUCACUCAAGCGUUCAACGAGUAUAUCUUGUUGAGACCCGAAAGAUGGUGAACUAUGCUCGGAUAUGGCAAAGUCAGGUGAAAACUUGAUGGAAGCUUGCGUUGUGCGGAACUGACGUGCAAAUCGUUACCGCCUAACCUGAGUAUAGGGGCGAAAGACUCAUCGAACCAUCUAGUAGCUGGUUCCCUCCGAAGUUUCUCUCAGGAUAGC
rnacentral:rRNA from 1 species